UGUUGUGCAUCUCUCUCUUUGUUCAUUUUUGAGUAGAAUACGGAGGAGCCGGCCAUGGCAAGAAUUUCGGCCAGCUAUUGUCCUUCUUACUUUCUUCCUCCACAAGCAUUGCCUCCCACCUAACCCAAUCAAUAAAUGGGCAGCCACCUCCCUUGGCCAAUGAAAAAAGGAGGCAGCCACCAUCCUCCCUCUAUUUAAAGAGCUUGGCCGGCCACCACCUCCACCUUUGGCCCUCAUUUUUCUUCUCCCACUCCCUCACACUCUUCUCCUCCACCUCCCCACGAGCUGCUGCUCCUCCCAAGCUCCAUGGCCGGCCAUGGCCAUGGAAACCUCUCCAAGAUGCAACUCCCUCCUCUCCCAAGCUUCCCCUCACCAUGAGAGCUUCCCUCUCACUCUCUUCUCCCCUAACCCUAGAUGAAUCCAGCCCUAUUCCUCAUUUCUCCUCUCACAAUAUUGGAUCUUGAUGCAGGUGCAUGUUGGUCCAAGCAUGGAGAAGGUUGAGCUAUCCUCAGAUCUGAAGUUCUUGAGCAAAAUCCAAAUCGAGUGAUUCAAAGUUCCGCAGAUAGAUACGGAAAAUAUCUAUAACUUGGCGUUGGUCUCAUCCUCAAAUUCGGUACGGAUUUUGCAAGAUCAAGAUCUGGUCAGAUCUGACUUUGUCGAAUUAAACCAGGAGCUUGGAGACGAAUUUUUGAAUGAAACCAACUGGGGGAUACUUAUUUUGUGCCAUGGUGAUACCUAGAGAGGCAAUUGCUAAGUCGUGGCACUCUCAUACCUUUACUAGAUGCGAACAAUUCCGGAGAAGAAAAAGAAGUGGAAUCGGACAAGGAUUUUAUUUAUGUUGUUGGGAUUCUUAUAUUGAUGAAGUUGAAGAAGUACAGGGACAAAUAAGCCAAGGCAAGCCAUCUUUUGAUCUCUGACUUGGUGUCUAGUUGGAUGUCAUUUGUUGAUGUCCAAAACACCUUAAUUCUAUGUGUGUUAUUCUCUCUAUUUAUGUCAUCUAUGUGUGAUUGCAAGUGGGGUACUCCUUAGUGGUGAUACUCCACUAUUGUCCUUGUGUUAUGGAUGCAUGGUAUCAUGGCCGUGCUAUUCCAAUUGGUUAUCUUGUAUGCUCAACUUGAGCAUGUUCCAUCUCAAGAUAGUAACUUACACCACACUCACCACUUUUGUAGUAUAGAGGUAUCAAUGUCAUGAUCUUGGUGUAUUCUCAACUUGAGAGAAGUAUGCCGUGUACCAUAUUGGAGAAUAUGUUGGAUAGUGACACUCCACUAUCUAAUUUGUGUAGUUAGCACCACAAAUCUGAAAGUAUAUUCCUCCUUGUGUUGUCAUAAUACAUGCUUACCUUAAGCAAGUAUGAUCCACUUCACUACCCCUUUUAUACCUCAUCUAUGGCAUGAUGACUCUCAUCUCGGCCAUAGUGCUAUACUAGUUCAACUCAUGAAACUUUAGGUUGGGAACCCCUCAAGGUUUACCUUGUUGUAAAAGUUUUGAGAAAACCUUGGGUGAGUCGACCUUACCCCAAGUGUAUGGUUUAUGAAAGGAAAUGAUCUUGACAAAGAUGGUUGGAAAGAGGAAAGUGUGUGUGUGACUUGGGUUUUUGAGAAAAACGACACACGAUUCUUUGUAUUCGCCCGGAACAACUAAAUCGCGCAACCACAUUACCCCAACAUGGGCACGGGGCUUAGCUCGUAGUUUGUUCUUUUUAACAUGAGAUACCUUCACCACUCUCUAGGAGGGUCACGAUGACCUCUGACACCGGGUUGCGCUCAC